rnacentral:sRNA from 1 species
GGGUAAGACGUUUUCCCAGCUGGGCUCUUGGCGGGAGGAUGAGAACAAGUCAAUCCUGUCCUCCAAACCAGCCAUUGGCAGCAAGGCUGUCAGCUACUCCAGCACCGGUAGCAGCAAGUCUUUUUGUUCCUGUGUACCUUGUGAAGGAACUGCUGAUGCCAGCUUCGUGACUUGUCCCACCUGCCAGGGCAGUGGCAAGAUUCCCCAAGAGCUGGAGAAGCAGUUGGUGGCUCUCAUCCCCUAUGGGGACCAGAGGCUGAAGCCCAAGCACACGAAGCUCUUUGUGUUCCUGGCCGUGCUCAUCUGCCUGGUGACCUCCUCCUUCAUCGUCUUUUUCCUGUUUCCCCGGUCCGUCAUUGUGCAGCCUGCAGGCCUCAACUCCUCCACAGUGGCCUUUGAUGAGGCUGAUAUCUACCUCAACAUAACGGUGGGUGGGUGCCCUUGGCUCCAAACCCCCCUUCCUAGCAAUACUUCGCUGUAAUCUUUGUCCAGUGUUAUGACCCUGGGCAUGGGAAGCCAGGGAUCUUAUGGCACCCAGAGGGUGUUGGGAGCCUGAAGAGAAGUAGGAGCA